rnacentral:tRNA from 1 species
GGGGAUGUAGCUCAGUGGAAGAGUGUUUGCCUAGCUUGUAGAAAGCUCUGGGUUUGAUUCUCAGUACCAUCA